UACCUUUCUUUCAGCAGUGUAUGAGGAUCUGAAUUUAUGUACCUUCUAGCCAGCUCUUGUUAUUUGUCUUUUUAAUCAUAGCUAUUCUAGUCGAUGUGGAGUGGUAUUUAAUUGAACCAUAUUUUAAAAAGAACCAAUAAAUCUGGAUCAAGAACCUCAUUUGACAUGUGUCACAAGGCUUUUUGCUGUCACCUUCUGCUUACCUUGAGAGGAUAUCUUCUUGAGAACUUCCAGAACAACGGGAAGAUCAAAGAGGUGGCUGUCCUCCCGACAUUCAACAAUUCAAGGAUAUGCACCAGGAAUGGAAUUGCUGAUGCCGUUUUGGAAAGCAAGAACAGACUGUCAGUACUUGGUGGCUCCAUCUAUCAGGAUUUAGCCAAAAUGUCAACUGGAGAUGUAGUCAGAUCCCAAGAGUAGGGCCCGAGGCAAAGGCUGUGUAGGGUGUCUGGAUAGGGGGCCGCUUCACUGGGUAAUGGAGAAAUGAGCCUAGAGUCUCUGUUGACCGAUGUUUUGAUGCAUGUUUUGUACUCUUUGUUCUGAUAUCUUCUAUAAAGAUUUUAUUUAUUUACUCAUGAGAGACACAGAGAGAGAGAGAGGCAGAGACAUAGGCAGGGAGAGAGGCAGGCUCCCCAUGGGGAGCCUGGUGUGGGACUUGAUCCCAGGACCCUGGGAACAUGACCUAAGCCAAAGGCAGACUCUCAACCACUGAACCACCCAGGUGUCCCUGUUCUAGUGUCUUCUAGUGUGGUCUCAACAGCUAUCAUGGCCAUAAAUGCCUUUAAAUCAAAGAAUUGCAGAAAAUUCACUUGGAGAAAACGUGCUCUGGAGGAGAGGCUGCUCCCUCUGCUCUGUAGCCCUGCCUCACCCUUGCCAUUCCCUUUCCCUUCAGUUGCUAGCUAGCUAGCUAGUAGUCUCUGCCCUCCCCACUGUGCAAGCAUAAGUAGGAGAUCUGGGGCUUAACCCUUCUUUCCUCUCUCUCAUAUUCAGAGGCGAAUAUGAAUAUUCUCUUUUUGUGCAGAACCCAGAUGUGUGGGACCCUCCAGCGAUGACCAUUGGGUUUGGCCACUGUGCCUUCAGAGGCUCUGAGGAACAUACUGCCUGCCUGUGUUUUACUCUAUAAACCCUAAAGUGCUCUGAUGCAUCCCAUCGGACUUUGGCCUGAUUUCUUCUCCACCCAGCCCAAGGUUUAGAGAACUAGGCUUCUACUUAAGAUCCAGUGCCCCCAGGGCCCCAGGGCCGACCCAAGCCAUCUCUGGAGCUAGCCUUGAACCCUGAUCAGAGGGUGCCCUUGGACAUACCUCACAAGUGGCAGGUGCUUGUUGAUCUAGCCUGCUGGAUUCCCAGUCUGCACAUCAUGCAGUAGUGGAGACACCGUCAUUAUGGCCACUGGGCCAACUAUUUGGCUACACCAAGGCCUUCAGACCUCAAGCUUUGUCGGUCUGAACAAACUUCUUGUGUAAACCUGGCUUGUUCCCAGUACCAUCUUGCCUUUGGAUGUAGUCUAUGGGCCAUACCUGAGUCCUCCAGCUUGCCUGUUUUGCAGCAAACAUGGAGUGGGUUUGAAAUAAUUACCUAUGGGUUCCUGGAACACUGCACAGUAUUAGGGAAAAGUAUCUAUCUCAGAGGGGAUUAGGGUCUCCUCCUGGCACGUUUCUGGAGGACUGAGACUUUGUCAUUCCUGGAAGCAGGAUUUUAAAGGCUGAUGUGAGGGGUAACUGGGUGGCUCAGUCAGUUAAGUGUGGGACUCUUGAUUUUGACUCAGGUCAUGAUCUCAGGGUCGUGAGAUGGAGCCCAGAGUAGGGCUCCAUUCUCAGCAGGGAGUCUGCUUGGGAUUCUCUCUCUCCCUCUGCCCCUCCGCCCCCCUUUCCCUCACUCUCUCUAAUAAAAACACAAAUAAAAAAAAUCUUUAAAAGGCU
ensembl:lncRNA